UGAAACACUGCAUUCCGGGGUCGGAUGCUGAAGAACCCUGCAAUCAAACCCGAGGCCAUAUUCGGAAACAACUGUAUCCGAUGACAGCUUAUUACGGAAGCUGUCCCUCUUCCUGAGCUCGUGUGAGGUUCUUGGUUAAAGGAGCCAUCGUCUUCCCUAAGGAUCAACCCCAGCUACGACUCAGGCCCCAGGACGCAAUCUCCGGGCGAUUCCUGGGCCCCCUCUUCACCUGGGUGGCUGCGCCAGACGUGGUUCGAAGCGCUUCCAGCCUCCUGAGCUCAGAAGAGCAAAAGCAGAUUCUCCCGGGCUUGGGGCUGAGGAGGUUUAAAGGCUGGAAUCCCUGAGGCAAAGCUUUGCUCCAGAAGAAUGAAAACAUGGGAUGAUAUUCCCUAUCUUAGCACAAUGACCUGAGACCAUUUGCCAUGUGAUGUCCCCAGGAAGGCACACGAGAGAAUCACUGAGUGGGCAGACUUUUGUAAGCCAACUACCCAACUACCUUGCCCGCCAUCUUGCCCAGAACCACGGCAGUUGGACUGCCCUGAACCCAGCAGCAAAGCACAGAGCAAGUGGAACGAUAUCUGCUUUCCUUAGUCUUUGCCUACUGAAAAUGACAUCUUACCCUGCCGCUUCCUGCCCUUUGGGAGACUUGAAGCCUUUGCUGCAAACUCUGGGGCCUUGCUAUAACGCACCUGCCGCUGCAGCCACAGAGUUCAGGAUAACAUCGGUUCAUCGUGGGCUCCACCUAAGGGAGUUGAGCUAGCAGAUGAGGCCGCGGGGCUGGGCUUGCCCUUCUGCACCACGGGCAUGAGGAACGAAGUGGUGGCCAGGACGGGUGCCCCGUGAGUCAAGCUGUGGAUUUUCAAACACCCUUGGUUUUCUGUGUCCCUGGUUUCCCACAGAGAUCCCCAUGAGGAAAGAUGCCUGCCUGCUUUUUGAGCUCUCUGGAUCUUCCCAUUAGAUAGCUUCUCUUGGCAUCUGAAAGGCAGCCUGCCAUUCUGUUCUCCUGUGGAAUACAGAUGGCCCAGCCCACGCCUCUCACUAAUGAGGAGCACAUGCAGAGCCUUCUUGCUGGAGGCUCCCUUCAACAACACCAGCCCUCCUUCCCCGUGCAGGCCAGUCACCGUUGACCACGGCAUUUACGGCUGAGAAGGCUGCUUGCUGCUCUCCCACUCACAGAGUUGAACAGAAAAUCUAUCGGGGAGCCCUGGGAAAUGAGUCCCAUUCCACUAGAAUCUGAAACAUUGAAGAUGAAGCUUGGGCUGCCCAUUUGAUCGCAAAGUUGAGGUUUGGGGUUCCAGCUGUCCACAGAGGCUGCUGAGUUUAAAUGUGAGCGAACACUGGAAGUUCUUCAGUAGGAACCUGACGAGACGCUGUACAGAGGUGGGCCUGACAGGUCAAUCUGCCAAUGCUGUGAAACCCUCACUAGGGUUGGGAACUGACGAGAAUGUUAAAAGCACUAAAGUAUAGUAGAAAAAGCAUACAUUUUUGGUGAGACAGGUGCACGUCAAGUCUUAGCUGUUACUACUUCCUACCUUUUUGACCUUGGACAAGGUAUUUCACCCUUCUAUGCACUAAUUCCUUUAUCUGUGAAAAAAGCACAAUGCCCAUGUCAUAGGCUGUUCUGAGGAUUAAAUGGGACAGCACAUGAAAAGACCUUAACAUGGUGCCUUGUACCCAGUAAGCAAUAAAUGGGAAUUUCCUUUUCUUUCUCCUUUUCUUGUUUUCUCUCUCUAGUAGAAAGUUGAAAGACAUACUCCAGCACGAUGGGACAUCAAGGUGUGCUACAAACAAUGGCUCCAUGUGAAUUUCUAUACAAUUCUGCUCUCUUGUUUUAUCUAAAACUUGAUUCAUUUUUGAGACGUGGGAUGGUUUCUUUUUUCCUCGUUAUUGCAAGUCAGAUGCAGGUCUGAUAUUUGUGACUGCAAGAGUUCCACACUGCCAAUACGGACCCCAAUAGAAAGGCAGAACCCCUUUUGGUUUAAAGACUGUAACUCAUUCCUUUAACUCUCCAAGCUACUGAGGGGAGAUCACCAUCACUAGCUGUCUGCAGAGGAUGUCAACAAUUCUGGUCAAUCCUGCCAUGUAUUAGGUGUGGUCUAACUGUUAGUACCCACUGAUCCAGAAAUCUCUCUGGGAGUCAUUUUCAUUCUUUCAGAAAACAAGGGACACUGAGGUAUGCUGUUCUCAAGGAAGUAACAGAUAUUGAUUUAACAUUGUUGCUGACAAAAACAGUUUCAAUUAGCUUGUUGGACAUGGUAGAUCAAUCAUUGUUUGUUCCUCUCCCAACCAGGUCAAGGCCCUUCCCAUAAGAGCGGGUAACUGUUCAUUCCCCCGGAAGGCAGCCCCUUCCAUAUUUGGCCAGUUCCAAAAGCAGUCUUUAAAUUGACUACAGAUCAACCUCUCUAUAACUGGGCUGCUUAGACCUGGUUAUGUUCUCUGGAGCUACACAGAUGAAGUCUGACUCCCAGCAGUAUCAUGUGUCCCCAGUCCCUCACUCUCUACCCCCCAGAUCUUUGAUUCUUGCUUGAAAACAUGUAGAGGGGAACAAUAAAAAUAGUUAAGCAAUCACAUAGAAGAAACUAAAGAGUGUCUUAAGACUGGAGACUCCUUGUUCUAGAGAAGUACUUUUUGGAACAUUAUUGCUGAGGACAGUUACUUGUGUGUUCCUAUCUCCCCUGAGAACAAAAAGAAAUGGUGGGCAUAAGGUAGUGUUUCUAAUCUACAGAUGUUGGCAGACAAAUAAAGGACCGCUGAUUCUUUACUGUGAAUUAAGCCUUCUAUAUCUCUCCUAGAAAGGGAGCUAGUACUUGGUCACAGAACUCUGUUUUCAGGGAUCAUUUUACGGCUACUAGCAUUUUGUGAAACACAUCUUAGGAAAUUAUGGUCUCAGAUAUGCUGGGGGGACUUAGACGUUUGAAAUAACUUCCUGAUUGGUGGUUGUUGGAUCCUGGAACUGGUGGCCAAGGAACAUGAUGAAGUUUCCUUCCUUGGAGGGUUG
ensembl:lncRNA